AACGAACGCUGGCGGCAGGCCUAACACAUGCAAGUCGAACGCCCCGCAAGGGGAGUGGCAGACGGGUGAGUAACGCGUGGGAACCUUCCCAAUGGUACGGAAUAGCUCAGGGAAACUUGGGGUAAUACCGUAUAUUCCCGUGAGGGGAAAGAUUUAUCGCCAUUGGAUGGGCCCGCGUCGGAUUAGCUAGUUGGUGAGGUAACGGCUCACCAAGGCGACGAUCCGUAGCUGGUUUGAGAGAAUGACCAGCCACACUGGGACUGAGACACGGCCCAGACUCCUACGGGAGGUAGCAGUGGGGAAUAUUGGACAAUGGGCGCAAGCCUGAUCCAGCCAUGCCGCGUGAGUGACGAAGGCCUUAGGGUUGUAAAGCUCUUUUGCCGGGGAAGAUAAUGACGGUACCCGGAGAAUAAGUCCCGGCUAACUUCGUGCCAGCCGCCGCCGUAA
rnacentral:rRNA from 1 species